rnacentral:rRNA from 1 species
GACGAACGCUGGCGGCGUGCUUAACACAUGCAAGUCGAACGGAAAGGCCCCUUUGGGGGUACUCGAGUGGCGAACGGGUGAGUAACACGUGAGUAACCUGCCCUUGACUUCGGGAUAACUUCAGGAAACUGGGGCUAAUACCGGAUAGGAAUCCUUGCUGCAUGGUGGGGGUUGGAAAGCUUCGGCGGUUUUGGAUGGACUCGCGGCUUAUCAGCUUGUUGGUGGGGUAGUGGCUUACCAAGGCUUUGACGGGUAGCCGGCCUGAGAGGGCGACCGGCCACAUUGGGACUGAGAUACGGCCCAGACUCCUACGGGAGGCAGCAGUGGGGAAUAUUGCACAAUGGGCGGAAGCUGAUGCAGCAACGCCGCGGGCGGGAUGACGGCCUUCGGGUUGUAAACCGCUUUCAGCAGGGGCGAAGCUUGUGGUGACGGUACCUGCAGAAGAAGCACCGGCUAACUACGUG